rnacentral:rRNA from 1 species
GAUCCUGGCUCAGAAUGAACGCUGGCGGCAUGCCUAACACAUGCAAGUCGAACGAAGGCUUCGGCCUUAGUGGCGCACGGGUGCGUAACGCGUGGGAAUCUGCCCUUGGGUUCGGAAUAACAGCGAGAAAUUGCUGCUAAUACCGGAUGACGACGAAAGUCCAAAGAUUUAUCGCCUGAGGAUGAGCCCGCGUUGGGAUUAGGGUAGUUUGGUGGGGUUAAAAGGCCUACCAAGCCGACGAUCCAUAGCUGGU